AGAAUUUAAUACAAAUUAAAAAAGAGACAGUUAAAAAAUAUGAAUAUUUUUAUUGGUCUAAAUUUUAAAUUUAACUUUAAAAGAUAAUUCAAUCUAAUCUAAAUUGAAUUUUUAUCCACAUAUAUUUUACCUAUGAAAUUAGAAUAUCAGCCAUUAGUUGGUCCUUUUUUUCCAAUUUCCACCCCCAGGGGGUUUAGGUGUGAUUGUUAUUGCAAAUUUAUUAAACUACUACUCUCUUCUUUCUAAUUUUCUUUCCUCCUUAUCACUUUUGUGUCCUGCGAUUUUUCAUUUUUAUUUUCACGACCUUCACUGGACUUUCUCUAAUUGGUCUCUCCCUUUCCUUCUUUCAAUUGGCCGAUUAUUGACGUGCUUUGUGCGUCUUAUAUAAGCUUCGUCUUUCUU
rnacentral:lncRNA from 1 species